AUACGUAGGGGGCGAGCGUUGUCCGGAAUGAUUGGGCGUAAAGGGCGCGUAGGCGGCUUUGCAAGUCAGUAGUGGAAGUCCAUUUUUCAAGGAUGGAAGUGCUACAGAAACUGCGGAGCUUGAGUGCAGGAGAGGUUAUCGGAAUUCCCGGUGUAGCGGUGAAAUACGUAGAGAUCGGGAGGAACACCAGUGGCGAAGGCGGGUAACUGGACUGCAACUGACGCUGAGGCGCGAAAGUGUGGGGAGCAAACAGGAUUAGAUACCCUGGUAGUCCACACUGUAAACGAUGAAUGCUAGGUGUAGGAGGUAUCGACCCCUUCUGUGCCGCAGUAAACACAGUAAGCAUUCCGCCUGGGGAGUACGGUCGCAAGAUUAAAACUCAAAUGAAUUGACGGGG
rnacentral:rRNA from 1 species